rfam:Rhizopogon vesiculosus strain AM-OR11-056 contig59886, whole genome shotgun sequence.
GGCAAGAUGGCCGAGCGGUCUAUGGCGUGUGACUCAAGCGAAAGCUUGCCUGCUAAGGUUCAGGUUUCUCAUCCUCGUAAGAGGGCGUGGGUUCAAAUCCCACUCUUGUCA